UACAGAGGGUGCGAGCGUUAAUCGGAAUUACUGGGCGUAAAGCGUGCGUAGGUGGUUUCUUAAGCUGGAUGUGAAAUCCCCGGGCUCAACCUGGGAACUGCAUCCGAUACUGGCUGGCUAGAGUGUGGUAGAGGGAAGUGGAAUUCCAGGUGUAGCGGUGAAAUGCGUAGAUAUCUGGGGGAACAUCAGUGGCGAAGGCGGCUUCCUGGACCAACACUGACGCUGAGGCGCGAAAGCGUGGGGAGCAAACAGGAUUAGAUACCCGAGUAGU
rnacentral:rRNA from 1 species